rnacentral:piRNA from 1 species
UUUGUCGCUGAUGGUUUUGGCAAGCUCAUA